GAAUAAGUAAGCUAAAUAAAGCUAUUGGGCUCAUAACCCAACAAUAGAUUUCGUCUCUUUUUCA
rnacentral:tRNA from 1 species